GAUGAACGCUAGCGGGAGGCUUAACACAUGCAAGUCGAGGGGUAUUACGAGCAAUCGUAAGAGACCGGCGGACGGGUGCGUAACGCGUAUGCAACUUACCUUAAGCAGGGGGAUAGGUCCCGGAAACGGGAAUUAAUACCUCAUAAUCCACAGAUUCUGCAUGGGAAUUGUGGAAAAUUCAGGUGGCUUAAGAUGGGCAUGCGUCUGAUUAGCUGGUUGGUAGGGUAACGGCCUACCAAGGCGACGAUCAGUAGGGGUUCUGAGAGGAUACACCCCCACACUGGUACUGAGACACGGACCAGACUCCUACGGGUGGCUG
rnacentral:rRNA from 1 species